rnacentral:rRNA from 1 species
UACGAACUGUGCGAACGUUAUUCGGAAUCACUGGGCUUACAGGGUGCGUAGGCGGCUUUUCAAGUCAGGUGUGAAAGCCCCCGGCUCAACCGGGGAAUUGCGCUUGAAACUGGAGAGCUCGAGUCAGCUAGAGGUGCACGGAACUUCCAGUGGAGCGGUGAAAUGUGUUGAUAUUGGAAGGAACACCGGAGGCGAAAGCGGUGCACUGGGGCUGGUCUGACGCUGAGGCACGAAAGCGUGGGGAGCAAACAGGG